AUUGAACGCUGGCGGCAGGCUUAACACAUGCAAGUCGAGCGAGAGGCGGACGGGCGAGUAAUGUCUGGGAAACUGCCUGAUGGAGGGGGAUAACUAAUGGAAACGGUAGCUACAACCGCACACAAUCAGAUGUGUCGAGAUGGGUUUAGCUAGUGGGUGGGGUAAUGGCUCACCUAGGCGACGAUCCCUAGCGGGUCUGAGAGGAUGACCAGCCACACUGGAACUGAGACACGGUCCAGACUCCUACGGGAGGCAGCAGUGGGGAAUAUUGCACAAUGGGCGCAAGCCUGAUGCAGCCAUGCCGCGUGUGUGAAGAAGGCCUUCGGGUUGUAAAGCACUUUCAGCGGGGAGGCGUUACCCGCAGAAGAAGCACCGGCUAACUCCGUGCCAGCCGCCGCGGUAAUUC
rnacentral:rRNA from 1 species